GCAGCGGAAAGCAGUAAUCCCUUGCCACUCUUUGAAGGAUCACGUAAGUCGUCUUCCUCGAUGAGACUUCCCAGUCACUUGUUUUUUUAUUUUCCUUCCUCUCCCUUUCAGCUUUUGGGCUUUAUGCCACUGCUGGUUGUAGGCAGGGGGAGGUGGAGAGAGUGACGCAUCAUGCCAUGUCCAUGUACCAGCUUUGACUCGUGGAGACGGAAGGCCUAUCUCGGGAAUACAGCCAUGGAGCAUUGGCACACUUACUUUGGUCUAAGUAAUUCCUGAUUUCAGCUUUGUACAGAUACCAGUUGAAAAG
rnacentral:misc_RNA from 1 species